rnacentral:rRNA from 1 species
AUUGAACGCUGGCGGAAUGCUCUACACAUGCAAGUCGAACGGCAGCACGGACUUCGGUCUGGUGGCGAGUGGCGAACGGGUGAGUAAUACAUCGAAACGUGCCCAAUCGUGGGGGAUAACGUAGCGAAAGCUACGCUAAUACCGCAUACGAUCUAAGGAUGAAAGCGGGGGAUCGCAAGACCUCGCGCGAUUGGAGCGGCCGAUGGCAGAUUAGGUAGUUGGUAGGGGAAAGGCCUACCAAGCCGACGAUCUGUAGCUGGUCUGAGAGGAUGAUCAGCCACACUGGGACUGAGACACGGCCCAGACUCCUACGGGAGGCAGCAGUGGGGAAUUUUGGACAAUGGACGCAAGUCUGAUCCAGCCAUUCCGCGUGCAGGAUGAAGGCCCUCGGGUUGCAAACUGCUUUUGUACAGAACGAAAAGGCUCUGGUUAAUACCUAGGGCUCAUGACGGUACUGUAAGAAUAAGCACCGGCUAACUACGUGCCAGCAGCCGCGGUAA